UGUCUGAGUGCCCUGCAAUUACCCGCUUCUAGUCUGUGGCAGGUUCGCCAGGGUACCAGGAAGCCCAUGCCACAGGAGGAUGGAGAAGCCCUAGAGCGAGGCCUCCAAACCCACCCCAGCUAAGACAAAAUCCACAGAGGAGGCUGAAGGUGCACACUGAGUUCUUCCAAGUGAGAAGGGAUAUUGGAAAAUGCCUUGGGCUUUCCGUAGUUGUUUACUCAACUAAGCAUGAAACCAAGCCGACCCAAGUUCAAGAUGACGAGUCUGCCACUGAACUGCCUGCUAAAAUAAGAAUCAACCCUCUCCAAAGGAACACAACACAAUCCAGUCUCUUUAAUGUGUCAUCUACAAGGUCUAGUAUAGGUUAAAAAUUACUAGAUAUGCAAAGAAAGUAAAAUGUGACCCAUUGACAAGAAAAAAAUGAGUCCAUUGAAACAGACAUCAAGGUGGAAGUGAGAAGCAGGAGGUGCCAGGAGUAAAUCAGCAUGAUAUGAAUCUGAUCAGACUCUGAGCACUCAGAGGCAUACUGAUAUUCCAGGGCAACCAUUCCAAGAGCAAAUACAGAGAAGUGGAUCUAAAGAAGUCAGCAGAGGACAUAACAUGGAAUACUCGGGCUUCCUGGCUGGAGGCCUAAGGAAAGGAUCCCUGGAAACUAGAGAGUGUGACAGGAAAUCUCAGAGCGGUGAGAGCUGAACAAGGGGAUCCCCCAGUUCUGUGUAUGAGUCAACACACUUGUGACUCAUGAGGAACACACCUAAACAAUUAUAGUUAAGGGCUUGAAAACCGCUGUGAUAUAAACGAUCUCCAAGAUCUAAGCCUGCCCCUGAAUGGCACUUUCAUGUGGAAUGGCUGAACAGCAAAAGACCCAAAAACAGGCCUGCAUUGGAACCACCACAGACAGACAGUGAGACAAAAGCGGCAGCUCUGACCAAGCAGGCUGCCUCUCCAGAGGAUUCUAACAUAACCCAAAGAACCACAACAAAAUUCAAAAUGUUCAGGAAUUAAUUCAAAAUUACUUAACAGAAAAAGAACCAUGGAAAUGGGACUAACUCUCAAGGAAAAGAGAAUCAAUAUAUGCCACCCUCAAGAUGACCCAGAGGAUGGAUUUACCAGACAAAGACUUUAAAGCAGGCAUUACAACCAUGCUCCUUGAGGUAAAGGUAACUCUCUUGAAAUAAAUGGAAAAAUGAAAGUUCUUAAAAGAGAAAAAGAAACUAUAUUAAAAGAACCAAUAAAAAUUCUAGAAUUAAAUACUAUAACACUAUCCAACAAAUUGACCUUCAUAGAAUAAUAUACCCAGCAAUGAUAGCACAGCACAUUCUGCUCAAGUGUGCAUGUGACAUUCACCAGAAUAGACCAUUAUCCUAAACCAUGAAACAAGCAUUCACAAAAUUAGGAAUUUAAAUCAUGCACGUUUGUUCUCUAAAUAUAAUAGGGUUAAAUUAGAAAUGGAUAAAAAAGUAAUAUCUGGAAAAUCCCAAACAUUUGGAAACUAAACAACACAUUUGUAAAUAACACGAAGGUUAAAGAGGGAAUCUCGAGAUAUAAAAAAAUUUUGAUCUAAAUUAGAAUACAAUGUUCAAAAAUUUUGAGAUGCCACUAAAGCACUAAUUAGGAGGAUGUUUAUAGCAUUUCAUGUUUAUGUUAGAAAAGAAUAAAGAUCUUAAAUCAAUAAUCCAAGCUCCCACCUUAGGAAAUCUAGGAAAAGAGCAAAUUAAACCCAAAGCAAGCAGAAAAAGGAAAUGAAGAAAGAAAUAUAAAUAAAAUUGAAAGCUAAAAGACAAUAGAAAAAAAAAUCAAUGAAAUCAAAAGCUCAUUCUUGAAAAAGAACAAUAAUGUUAAUAAAAUCCUAGCCAUAUUGACCAAGGAGAAAAGAGAGAAGUCACAGAUUACCAAUAUUAGAAAUGAACAAGGAGGCACUAUCACCGAUCCCACAGACAUUAGAAGGAUGAGGACAGAAUACCACAAAUAAAUCUGUGCUCUAAAAUUUGACAAAAUAGAUUAUAUGGACCAAUUCCUCAAAAGAUACAAAUUACUAACACUCAAGGAGAAAUAUAUAACCUGAAUAUUCCUUUAUCUUUUAAAAUAAUUUGUUUUCUGAGAUGGAGUCUCGCUCUGUCACCUAGGCUGGUGUGCAGUGGCGUGAUCUCGGUUCAUUGAAACCUCCACCUCCCGAGUUAAAGUGAUUCCCCUGCCUUAGCCUCCCGAGUUGCCAGGACUACAGGUGCCCACCACCACACCUGGCUAAGUUUUGUAUUUUUAGUAGAGACAGGGUUUCAUCCUGUUGGCCAGGCUGGUCUCAAACUCCUGACCUCAGGUGAUCCACCCUCCUUGGCCUCCCACGGUGCUGGGAUUACAGGCAUGAACCACUACACCUGGUUUCUUUGAAAAGAAUUGAAUUUAUAAAAACCUUUCUACAAAACUCCAGGCCCGGAUGGUUUUGCUGGAGAAUCUACCAAAGCUUUAAAGAGGAAAUCAUGCCAAUUCUACACAACCUCUGACAGAAAACACAAAAGGAACAAGAACCUCCCAGCUCAUGUUAUGAGGCCAGAAAACCAGAUGAAGAUAACCCAGGAAAAUAAAGUUACAGACCAAUAUUUCUCAUGAGCAUAGACACAAAAAUUCUCAGCAAAACACUAGCAAGUCAAAACCAGCUAAUACACGACCAAAUGAGGUCUAUCCCAGGAAUGUGAGGCUGGUUCAUCAUUCAAGAAUUAACCAAGGUUUUCCACUUAUAUUUGGCCCCCGGAGUGGUCAAAUUCACAGAGACAAAAAGUAGAAUGGUGGUUGCCAGGGGCUGGGGGAGGAGGAGAUGGGGAGUUAGUGUUUAACA
rnacentral:lncRNA from 1 species